AGCUGCUCAACGCGAUUUCCCUUCGCGCUUCUCCGCACCGGGAUCCCCAGUCCCUCAGGUUCCGACAGACCCUCCUGUCAGGCCCAUUCUCCGGGCCCCCUCAGUUGCAGUGUUAAGAUCAACAGUGUUAAGAUUAAAGCCUUGUGAUGUGCUAGCCACUACGCUGAGGAUAUGCCGUGUACUAAAAUUCCUCAGGACUCCUCACAGCUGCCCUGUAAGGAAGCGGCCAUGGCCGGGUUCUAGCGAUGCGAGGCCGAGGCUCGGGGCGCUGAGUAGCCUAGCGCGUCGCCGAGGAGAGCUGGCACGUGAACCCCUUGUCGUUUGCCGUCAGAGGUGUUAUGUGGUGGCCCUCAUUCUCCAUGCAUGGAGCAGACUCUAGGAUCUGCAGUUACUGUAUGAUGAGCCCUUCUGAGUAUUUUGCUUGAGUCUCGCUGUGUCACCCAGGCUGGAGUGCAGUGGUAUGAUCUCAGCUCACUGCAACCUCCACCUACCAGGUUCAAGUGAUUUUCCUGCCUUGGCUUCCCAGGUAGCUAGGACUACAGGCGUGCACCGCCACACCUGGCUAAUGUCUUGCAUUUUUAGUAGAGAUGGGGUUUCACCAUAUUGGCCAUGCUGGUCUCGAACUCCUGACCUUGUGAUCUGCCCACCUCAGCCUCCCAAAGUGCUGGAAUUACAGGUAAGUAUAGUGUAUCUUUCCAUUUAUUUCCAAAUUUCUCUCAGCACUAUUUUUUAUGUUUCAGGAUAUAGAACUUGCACAGUUUUCUUGAGUUCAUUUUUAUUUCAUAUUCUUUUUUAUUAUUUUAUUUUAAGUUCCAGGGUACAUGUGCAGGAUGUGCAGGUUUGUUACAUAGGUAAACAUGUGCCAUGGUGGUUUGCUGCACUGAUAAACCCAUCACCUACGUAUUUUACCCAGUAUGCAUUAGCUGUUUUUCCUGAUGCUCUCCACAUCUCCGCCCUCCCCCAACAAGCCCCAGUGUGUUUUGUUUCCCUCACUGUGUCCAUGUGUUCUCACUGUUCAGCUCCCACUUAUAAGUGAGAACAUGCAGUGUUUGGUUUUCUGUUCCUGCAUAGUUUGCUGAGGAUAAUGGCUUCCAGCUUCAUCCACGUCCCUGCAAAGGACAUUAUCUCGUUCCUUUUUAUGGCUGCAUAGUAUUCCAUGAUGUAUAUGUACCACAUUUUCUUUAUCCAGUCUAUCAUCGAUGGGCAUUUGGGUUGAUUCCAUGUCUUUGCUAUUGUGAAUAGUGCUGCAAUGAACAUACAUGUGCUUGUAUCUUUAUAAUAGAAUGAUUUAUAUUCCUUUGGGUAUACAUACCCAGUAAUGGGAUUGCUAGGCCAAAUGGUACUUCCAGUUAUAAAUCUCUGAGGAAUCACCACACUGUAUCCCACAAUGGUUGAACUAAUUUACAGUCCCACCAACAGUGUAAAAGCAUUCCUAUUUCUCCGCAACCUCGCCAGCAUCAGUUGUUUCUUGACUUUUUAAUAAUCACUGUUCUGACUGGCAUAAGAUGGUAUCUCAUUAUGGCUUUGAUUUGCAUUUCUCUGAUGAUCAGUGAUGUUGAGUUUUUUUCAUGUUUGUUGGCCGAUGGAACAGAAUAGAGAACUCAGAAUAAAACUGCCAUCUACAAUUAUCUGAUCUUCGACAAACCUGACAAAAACAAGCAAUGGGGAAAGGAUUCCCUAUUUAAUAAAUGGUGCUGGGAGAACUGGCUAGCCAUACGCAAAAAACUGAAACUGGACCCCUUCUUUACACCUUAUACAAAAAUUAACUCAAGAUGGAUUAAAGACUCAAAUAUAAAACCAAAAACUAUAAAAUCCCUAGAAGAAAAUCUAGACAAUACCAUUCAGCACAUAGGCAUGGGCAAAGAUUUUAUGAUGAAAUUGCCAAAAACAAUUUUAACAAAAGCAAAAAUUCACAAAUGGGAUCUAAUUAAACUAAAGAGCUUCUGCACAGCAGAAGAAACUAUCAUCAGAGUGAACAGACAACCUACAGAAUGGGAGAAAAUUUUUGCAAUCUAUCCAUCUGACAAAGGUGUAAUAUCCAGCAUCUACAAACAACUUAAGCAAAUUUACAAGAAAAAAAAAACCAUUGAAAAGUGGGCAAAGGACAUGAAUAGACACUUCCUAUUUCAUAUUGUUGAUGCUGUUUUCAUUUGUAAUUUCCAAGACUUCCUAUCAUAUAGAAAUACAAUUGAUUUUUGUAUAUUGACAUUUUUGUAUAUUGGUUUUUGUAUCCUGUAACUCUGCUAAACUCAGUUAUUAGUUCUGGUAGCUUUUUUGGUGGAUUUCUUAGGAUUUUUUUUUUUGAGAUGGAGUCUCACUCUGUUACCCAGGCUUGAGUGCAGUGGCAUGAUCUUGGCUCACUGCAACUUCCACCUCCCAGGUUCAAGCAAUUCUCCUGCAUCAGCAUCCCGAGUAGCCAGGACUACAGGUGCAUGCCACCACCCCCAGCUAAUUUUUGUAUUUUUUUUUUAGUAGAAAUGAGGUUUCGCCAUGUUGGCCAGGCUGACAUCAGCUGAACCACUUUGGCCUCCCAACGUGCUCAGAUUACAGGUGUCAGCCACUGCGCCCAGCCAAUUUCUUGGGAUUUUCUAUAUAAGAGACCUGUCAUCUUUGAAUAAAGAUAAUUUUAUUCUUC
rnacentral:lncRNA from 1 species